rnacentral:rRNA from 1 species
UACGUAGGGUGCAAGCGUUAAUCGGAAUUACUGGGCGUAAAGCGUGCGCAGGCGGUUAUGCAAGACAGAGGGGAAAUCCCCGGGCUCAACCUGGGAACUGCCUUUGUGACUGCAUAGCUAGAGUACGGUAGAGGGGGAUGGAAUUCCGCGUGUAGCAGUGAAAUGCGUAGAUAUGCGGAGGAACACCGAUGGCGAAGGCAAUCCCCUGGGCCUGCACUGACGCUCAUGCACGAAAGCGUGGGGAGCAAACAGG